AGCGAACGCUGGCGGCAGGCCUAACACAUGCAAGUCGAACGAACCCUUCGGGGUUAGUGGCGGACAGGUGAGUAACACGUGGGAACGUGCCUUUAGGUUCGGAAUAACUCAGGGAAACUUGUGCUAAUACCGAAUGUGCCCUUCGGGGGGAAAGAUUUAUCGCCUUUAGAGCGGCCCGCGUCUGAUUAGCUAGUUGGUGAGGUAAUGGCUCACCAAGGCUACGAUCAGUAGCUGGUCUGAGAGGAUGACCAGCCACAUUGGGACUGAGACACGGCCCAAACUCCUACGGGAGGCAGCAGUGGGGAAUCUUGCGCAAUGGGCGAAAGCCUGACGCAGCCAUGCCGCGUGGAUGAUGAAGGUCUUAGGAUUGUAAAAUCCUUUCACCGGUGAAGAUAAUGACUGUAGCCGGAGAAGAAGCCCCGGCUAACUUCGUGCCAGCCGCCGCAGUAAAAC
rnacentral:rRNA from 1 species